CCUUCAUCCUCCUUCCUCCUCUCUUCUCUCCUUCUCUCCAUCCUCAUUUCCUUCCUCCUCUCCUUCUCGCAUUCCUCCUUUCUCCUUCCUUCUCUCCUUCCUUCUCUCCUCUUCUUCCGUCUCUCCUUCCUCCUUCCUCAUCUCCUUCUCUUCUUCUCUCUUUCCUUCUCUUCUUCUCUCUUUCCUUCUCUUCUUCAAUCUUUCCUUCUCUCUGCCCUUCUCUCCUUCUUGCCUUCUCUCUUUCAUUCUCUCCAUCUCUCUUUCCUCCUCUCCUUCCUCCUUCCUCCUUCCCUCCUUCCUCCUCUUUCUCUCCUUCCUUCUCUGCUUCUCUCCUUCUCUCCUUCCUCCUCUCCUUCUCCUUCUCUCCUUCCUCCUCUUCUUCUCCUUCCCUCCUUCCUCCUUUUCUCCUUCCCCUCAUCUCCUCGCCUCUCAUUGCCUCUCUCCUCUUCUUCCGUCUCUCCUUCCUCAUCUCCUUCUCUUCUUCUCUUCUUCUCUUCUUCUCUCUUUCCUUCUCUCUGUCCUUCUCUCCUUCUUGCCUUCUCUCUCAUUCUCUCCAUCUCUCCUUCCUCCUCUCCUUCCUCCUCUUUCUCUCCUUCCUCCUCUGCUUCUCUCCUUCCUCCUUUCCUUCUCCUUCUCUCCUUCCUCCUCUCCUUCCCUCCUUCCUCCUUCCCCUCAUCUCCUCGCCUCUCAUUGCCUCCUCUCCUCUCCUUCUCAACAUUCCAGUGUCUCCCUCUCACUGUCUCCAUCCAUUAAAGAAAAAAAGAAGAAACAACUGUGAUGCAGCUGUUCUCACUCUGCGGUGUUAUAGUAAUAAUCACCAUGGUUACAGGUGUUCUCACUCUGUGGUGUUAUAGUAAUAAUCACCAUGGUUACAGCUGUUCUCACUCUGCGGUGUUAUAGUAAUAAUCACCAUGGUCACAGCUGUUCUCACUCUGCGGUGUUAUAGUAAUAAUCACCAUGGUUACAGGUGUUCUCACUCUGCGGUGUUAUAGUAAUAAUCACCAU
rnacentral:lncRNA from 8 species